AACGCACAUUGCGCCCCCUGGUAUUCCGGGGGGCAUGCCUGUUCGAGCGUCAUUGCAACCCUCAAGCUCGGCUUGUGUGAUGGGCGACCGUCCUUCCCCUAGGGGCGGGACGCGUCCGAAAAGCAGUGGCUAGGCCGCGAUUCCGGCGCCUGAGCGAAUGGGACUUCCACCGCUUCUAGGACCGGCCGGUACUUGGCCUUUAAACACGGUCUUAACUGACCAUCUAGGUUGACCUCGGAUCAGGUAGGGAUACCCGCUGAACUUAA
rnacentral:misc_RNA from 1 species